GACCACUUAGUGCAGUGGUAGCAUAGUCGGUGCAAAAACCCCUAGACCUAGGUUCGAUUCCUAGAGAGGUUG
rnacentral:tRNA from 1 species